UCCGGUUUGGCACCGGCAGUCUUCCUAGAGUCCCUGCCAUUACGCGCUGGCAACUAAGAACAGGGGUUGCGCUCGUUGCGGGACUUAACCCAACAUCUCACGACACGAGCUGACGACGGCCAUGCACCACCUGUAUACGAGUGUCCAAAGAGCUCUCUAUCUCUAGAGAGUUCUCGUAUAUGUCAAACCUAGGUAAGGUUCUUCGCGUUGCAUCGAAUUAAUCCGCAUGCUCCGCCGCUUGUGCGGGCCCCCCACACCUAGCGCCCAACGUUUACAGCGUGGACUAC
rnacentral:misc_RNA from 1 species